rnacentral:rRNA from 1 species
AUGGAUAACACCAACUGCCCCAUAAUGAGUUCGAAUGUAAGAGGCCUAAACACACCGGCUCGACGCUCUGUAGUUUGUGACACCGCGAGCACGCAUAGACUGGACAUACUAUGCCUUCAGGAGACAAAGAUUGAAAUCUGGUCGCCCGCGCUAGCUAGGGAAAUUGGAGGGGGCAGGCUAGAUGAUUGCGCCGUGCUGCCGGCCAUAGGAACGCGGGGAGGAAUUGCCAUCUUCUGGAACUCCGACACCGUCUCUGUCCAAACUCACGCGAUAGGCCAAUUCUCCAUCACGGCUAGAAUUAGUCUAAUUGGAUCCCAAAACUCCUUCUGGCUGACAACGGUCUAUGGGCCAGCAGAUGAGCUGCGCAAGGACGAGUUCCUCGCCGAGAUCGCCAGGGCGGCCCAGCCCGGGGAGGCUUGGCUAAUCAACAACGACUUCAACAUCAUAUAUGAGGCUAGAGACAAAAACAAUAGUAACAUUAACCGCAGGAUCAUGGGCAAGUUUAGAGAAGCCAUCGAUGCGGGGGGGCCAACGUGA